CCUACGGGAGGCAGCAGUGGGGAAUAUUGGACAAUGGGGGGAACCCUGAUCCAGCCAUGCCGCGUGUGUGAAGAAGGCCCUCGGGUCGUAAAGCACUUUCAGUGAGGAAGAACGCCUGGUGGUUAAUACCCAUCAGGAAAGACAUCACUCACAGAAGAAGCACCGGCUAACUCCGUGCCAGCAGCCGCGGUAAUACGGAGGGUGCGCGCGUUAAUCGGAAUUACUGGGCGUAAAGCGCGCGUAGGUGGCUUGAUAAGCCGGUUGUGAAAGCCCCGGGCUCAACCUGGGAACGGCAUCCGGAACUGUCAAGCUAGAGUGCAGGAGAGGAAGGUAGAAUUCCCGGUGUAGCGGUGAAAUGCGUAGAGAUCGGGAGGAAUACCAGUGGCGAAGGCGGCCUUCUGGACUGACACUGACACUGAGGUGCGAAAGCGUGGGUAGCAAACAGGAUUAGAUACCCCUGUAGUC
rnacentral:rRNA from 1 species